CUUACAAAGGUCUUUGGAGUUCUAUAGAAAAGAACUCUGCUUUCCAUGAAACAAGCCCAAGCUUACAACAGGUCCUGAUUUCCAUAGGAGACAUAUUGCAACAAUGUCUGACUUCAUGGAACCAACCAACCAUUCACCCCUGAAGAUAGAAAAAU
rnacentral:lncRNA from 14 species